CCGGGGGUCGUUAGGAGAAGAUGGGCCGUCACAUGUAUUGGCUGGCAUUUGCCUUCUGCACCCUCGCUCUUGCGUCCUCGAAGUACUGUCAAUUUAAAUGUGGACCAUCAGUUUGAAAAUAAUGCGGUCUGUGUGCUCUUCCGCUGUCUUAUCCAGAACACCUAUAUCAUCGCACACAAAAUUUUAAGUUCUGAGGACAAUGUUUGUGUGCACACUUGCAGAUAUAUACUCUUACCAGAACAACUUUCAUGAACAGUUUAUAAAUGAGUACUGCUGAAAUAAAGUCAAUGAGUUAUUAUAAUAGGGCUGAAUCAAACAUUCAUUUUGUCAGGAUCAAAAUCAUGAUUGUUUCUCCUUUGAUCUUGUAGAAUUCUAAACUGUAGCAGUAAUAGCAUCAAGUGGAUAUGAGGUAUAUAAUUCUUAAGAGUUUGUUUAAGUUUUUGUAUUGUAUUAAUGGAAUUUGCUUGUUUAAUGGACGAAUACAGUGUAUGGUUUACUAAUCUCGAUUGUCUAAAAGUAUUAUACUAUGAAAUCAUAAGUCUCACCAAGGUAGAUAGUUUUAGGUAACAAAGGAACUUUUUGUAUUUAGUGUAUGCUCGCCAUGCAAGAAGCUGUUACUUACUACGUGUCACCGGACUACAUGUUCUAGUAUGGUUCAAUAAAGAAUAAUGUUUCUAGUGAAUUCAUUAUUUAGAUUUCAGAAACUGUCUUCCACAUGCUAGCAUAUCCAAUUUGUACUCCUUUUCGUUGGAGAAAGUCUGCAAUCAGCAUUUCGCAACUUCCCUCCCCAGCCUAACUCCUCUACUUGCUAAUGAAUUGGGUAAAUGCACAUUGUAGGUAGUUCUUUGAAUAAACAGGAUUUAUCUUCA